GAUGAGCGCUGGCGGCGUGCCUAAUACAUGCAAGUCGAGCGAACAGAUGAGGAGCUUGCUCCUCUGACGUUAGCGGCGGACGGGUGAGUAACACGUGGAUAACCUACCUAUAAGACUGGGAUAACUUCGGGAAACCGGAGCUAAUACCGGAUAAUAUAUUGAACCGCAUGGUUCAAUAGUGAAAGACGGUUUUGCUGUCACUUAUAGAUGGAUCCGCGCCGCAUUAGCUAGUUGGUAAGGUAACGGCUUACCAAGGCAACGAUGCGUAGCCGACCUGAGAGGGUGAUCGGCCACACUGGAACUGAGACACGGUCCAGACUCCUACGGGAGGCAGCAGUAGGGAAUCUUCCGCAGUGGGCGAAAGCCUGACGGAGCAACGCCGCGUGAGUGAUGAAGGUCUUCGGAUCGUAAAACUCUGUUAUUAGGGAAGAACAAAUGUGUAAGUAACUAUGCACGUCUUGACGGUACCUAAUCAGAAAGCCACGGCUAACUACGUG
rnacentral:rRNA from 1 species